rnacentral:rRNA from 1 species
AACGCGAAGAACCUUACCCAGGCUUGAACAGCGAGUGACCACCUACGAAAGUAGGCUUCCGCAAGGACACUCGUAGAGGUGCUGCAUGGCUGUCGUCAGCUCGUGUCGUGAGAUGUUGGGUUAAGUCCCGCAACGAGCGCAACCCUUGUCUUCUGUUGCCAUCAGGUAAUGCUGGGCACUCUGGAGAGACUGCCGGUGAUAAACCGGAGGAAGGUGGGGAUGACGUCAAGUCAGCAUGGCCUUUAUGUCUGGGGCUACACACGUGCUACAAUGGCCGGUACAAAGCGUCGCGAGCCCGCAAGGGGGAGCUAAUCGCAUAAAGCCGGUCUCAGUUCGGAUUGCAGGCUGCAACUCGCCUGCAUGAAGUCGGAAUCGCUAGUAAUCGCGGAUCAGCACGCCGCGGUGAAUACGUUCCCGGGCCUUGUACACACCGGAGUA